UACGUAGGGGGCUAGCGUUGUCCGGAAUCAUUGGGCGUAAAGAGCUCGUAGGCGGCUUGUCGCGUCGUCCGUGAAAACCUGCAGCUCAACUGUGGGCUUGCGGUCGAUACGGGCAGGCUAGAGUUCGGUAGGGGAGACUGGAAUUCCUGGUGUAGCGGUGAAAUGCGCAGAUAUCGGGAGGAACACCAGUAGCGAAGGCGGCACUCUGGGCCGGUACUGACGCUGAGGAGCGAAAGCGUGGGGAGCAAACAGG
rnacentral:rRNA from 1 species